AUUGAACGCUGGCGGCAGGCUUAACACAUGCAAGUCGAGCGGGGUGAUGGUGCUUGCACUAUCACUUAGCGGCGGACGGGUGAGUAAUGCUUAGGAAUCUGCCUAUUAGUGGGGGACAACAUCUCGAAAGGGAUGCUAAUACCGCAUACGUCCUACGGGAGAAAGCAGGGGAUCACUUGUGACCUUGCGCUAAUAGAUGAGCCUAAGUCGGAUUAGCUAGUUGGUGGGGUAAAGGCCUACCAAGGCGACGAUCUGUAGCGGGUCUGAGAGGAUGAGCCGCCACCCUGGGACUGAGACACGGCCCAGACUCCUACGGGAGGCAGCAGUGGGGAAUAUUGGACAAUGGGGGGAACCCUGAUCCAGCCAUGCCGCGUGUGUGAAGAAGGCCUUAUGGUUGUAAAGCACUUUAAGCGAGGAGGAGGCUCUUUUGGUUAAUACCCAAGAUGAGUGGACGUUACUCGCAGAAUAAGCACCGGCUAACUCUGUGCCAGCCGCCGCAGUAA
rnacentral:rRNA from 1 species